AAAAAACUUUCUCCUCAAUUCUUCAACCUCAAAAGAUCUAAUCCAAAAAUCACUACAAUAUCCACUGUUAUUUUACUUUACACGGUCGAGAUUUGAGAAGCUUGCGUUGCGUCUUUUUUCUUGAUAUGAUUUCAUGUUGCGUACGUAAACCAUUUUUUCAAUUUUUUUAAGGAAUACAGUUAAAACUGGCCGAUAUCUGUAUAUUUCGUUUUAUGAGAUAUAGUGUCAGAGUUCGACGAACCGAGGGAGGAGCUGUAGAUGGAAAUUGGCAGGUCAUAAUGAGAGAAGAAUAAAGAGUGCUCAUGAUUUUUUUUCCAGGAACUAUUAUUUUUUAUUAUUCUUACUAUCUUUUUAUCAGUUCUUGAAGAAUUGUGAUUAAUAAAUUAGAUAACUUCUUUAUAUAUAUAUAUAUAUAUAUAUAUAUAUAUUACUCUUCAUCUUGACAUGUGGAUUAUUGGAAGAAAAAGUUAAUGAAUGAUUGAUUACUCUUCUUCUUCUUCUUCUUCUUCUUCUUCUUCUUCUUCUUCUUCAUCCCCUUGACAUGUUGAUUAAUAAGAAGAAAAAGUAUUAUCCAAUUUUUUAAAUCAUAAAUUUAAGCUGAAACUAAUUAUA
rnacentral:lncRNA from 1 species